UACGUAGGGGGCUAGCGUUGUCCGGAAUCAUUGGGCGUAAAGAGCGUGUAGGCGGCCCGGUAAGUCCGCUGUAAAAGUCAAAGGCUCAACCUUUGAAUGUCAGUGGAUACUGCCGGGCUAGAGUCCGGAAGAGGCGAGUGGAACUCCUGGUGUAGCGGUGGAAUGCGCAGAUAUUAGGAAGACACCAGUGGCGAAGGCGGCUCACUGGCCCGGUACUGACGCUGAGGCGCGAAAGCGUGGGGAGCAAACAGG
rnacentral:rRNA from 1 species